AUUAUAUUAAAGUUGAAUAUGAGAAAGAAAAACAAGAAUAUGAGAGAGAGAAACAAGAAAAAGCAGGGAAAGUUGUUCCUCGUGGCCCUUCUCCUUCUCCUUCUUCUUCUUCUUCUUUUACUUCAAACAAACCAGUCA
rnacentral:ribozyme from 13 species